rnacentral:rRNA from 1 species
UGGGGAAUAUUGCACAAUGGGGGAAAGCCCUGAUGCAGCAACGCCGCGUGAAGGAAGACUGUUUUCGGAUUGUAAACUUCUGUUCUUAGUGAAGAAUAAUGACGGUAGCUAAGGAGCAAGCCACGGCUAACUACGUGCCAGCAGCCGCGGUAAUACGUAGGUGGCAAGCGUUGUCCGGAAUUACUGGGUGUAAAGGGAGCGCAGGCGGGAGACCAAGUCAGCUGUGAAAACUACGGGCUUAACCUGUAGACUGCAGUUGAAACUGGUUUUCUUGAGUGAAGUAGAGGUUGGCGGAAUUCCGAGUGUAGCGGUGAAAUGCGUAGAUAUUCGGAGGAACACCGGUGGCGAAGGCGGCCAACUGGGCUUUAACUGACGCUGAGGCUCGAAAGUGUGGGGAGCAAACAGGAUUAGAUACC